UACGUAGGGUCCGAGCGUUGUCCGGAAUUAUUGGGCGUAAAGAGCUCGUAGGCGGUCCGUUAAGUCGGAAGUGAAAUCUCAAGGCUCAACCUUGAAAUCGCUUUCGAUACUGGCGGACUUGAGGCAGGUAGGGGAAGGUGGAAUUCCCGGUGUAGUGGUGAAAUGCGUAGAUAUCGGGAGGAACACCAGUGGCGAAGGCGACUACCUGGCCUGUUCUUGACGCUGAGGCGCGAAAGCUAGGGGAGCAAACGGG
rnacentral:rRNA from 1 species